GCUUGCUCCUUGGGUGACGAGUGGCGGACGGGUGAGUAAUGUCUGGGAAACUGCCCGAUGGAGGGGGAUAACUACUGGAAACGGUAGCUAAUACCGCAUAACGUCGCAAGACCAAAGAGGGGGACCUUCGGGCCUCUUGCCAUCGGAUGUGCCCAGAUGGGAUUAGCUAGUAGGUGGGGUAACGGCUCACCUAGGCGACGAUCCCUAGCUGGUCUGAGAGGAUGACCAGCCACACUGGAACUGAGACACGGUCCAGACUCCUACGGGAGGCAGCAGUGGGGAAUAUUGCACAAUGGGCGCAAGCCUGAUGCAGCCAUGCCGCGUGUAUGAAGAAGGCCUUCGGGUUGUAAAGUACUUUCAGCGAGGAGGAAGGCGUUGUGGUUAAUAACCGCAACGAUUGACGUUACUCGCAGAAGAAGCACCGGCUAACUCCGUGCCAGCAGCCGCGGUAAUACGGAGGGUGCAAGCGUUAAUCGGAAUUACUGGGCGUAAAGCGCACGCAGGCGGUCUGUCAAGUCGGA
rnacentral:rRNA from 1 species